rnacentral:rRNA from 1 species
GACGUAGGGCGCGAGCGUUGUCCGGAUUUAUUGGGCGUAAAGAGCUCGUAGGCGGCUUGUCGCGUCGACUGUGAAAUCCCCGCGGCUCAACCGCGGGUCUGCAGUCGAUACGGGCAGGCUAGAGUUCGGUAGGGGGAGACUGGAAUUCCUGUGUAGCGGUGAAAAUGCGCAGAUAUCAGGAGGAACACCGAUGGCGAAGGCAGGUCUCUGGGCCGAUACUGACGCUGAGGAGCGAAAGCGUGGGGAGCGAACAGG